rnacentral:rRNA from 1 species
CACAGGUGGGAUUGCGUUUUAAAUAUUGAAUAGGCAUUAAGUGUGAUUAGGUGGCUCAUACGUAGCUAGAGUCCUAAGAGGAGAGUUAGAGGAAUAACCAAAUGAAGGAUGAAAUCUAUAGAUAUUGGUUGGAACAUCGAUAGCGACAGCAUCACUCUAUUUUAGGACUGACACUGAAUCACUAAAGUGUGGGGAGCAAAACGG